UCGAGAUUUAUGCUAAGAAAACA
rnacentral:siRNA from 1 species